rnacentral:lncRNA from 1 species
CUGGAUUUUUGCUGGAACCACUAGUGAGGAUGUUACAAGCAGGGGAGAUUUUUGCAGCAACUAUGUUCUUUUUUUGCUGGAACCGGUCCUAAUUCUUGCUACCAUCUUGUCUUGAUUUUGCUGGAACAAGCCUAAAAAUUGCUACCGUGGUUCGAUUUUGCUGGAACCGGUAAUUUUUCCUGCUCCAACCUAAUACUGGAGAUUUUUGUUGGUAAAGCUUUGACCUCCGGCUGGAUUUUUGCUGGAACCACUGGCUGGGGAUGUUACAAGCAGAGGCCAUUUUUGUUGGAACCAUGUUCUUUUUUAAUCACCGGUUCCAGCUUCUGCUCAGCUCAAUUCAUCUUUUUUGCUGGAACCAAGUCAUUUUUUGCUGGAUCCGGGUCUUUUUUUUUGCUGGAACCGGCAAAUGAUUUUGCUGCGACGGCAACUUCUGAAGUUUUUUGUUGGUUGAGAUUAUUUGCUACCUUCCGAAGUUUUUUUGUUGGUUGAGAUUAUUUGCUACGAUCAAGAGGCGGCGACGCAUUUCUGCUGGAAUCGCGUUAAUUUUUACUGGAAUCAGGGAACUUUUUUGCUUCAAGCAAUUUACUGGGUUGCUAGUUCCUCAAGUCAUUUUUUGCUGAAAACCUUUUGCUUUUUUGCUGGAACCAGUUUUGGUUUUGCUGCAACUACCCAUCGGAGUUCUUUUUGGGCUGAAAUGUGUUUUUUGUUGGAACGAGAUGGUGCAGUUCGACGGCGGCGAUGUCGUGCUAUGAUGGGUGGUGCCUACGCGAGUUGCUGGAAACGAUGUUUGGAUGAGCUGCAUUCGGCGAGGAGUGGUGCUGGAACAACGGGAGAUGAGGAGGAUGUGCUACGCCGGCGAAUUGGAGCUGCAGGGAGAGGCGUGGAGCGAUGGAGAUCCGACUAGCGGCGGAGAUCCAGCGGGUUAGGUCGCUCGUCCAUGGCGCUGGCGCUUGCCAUGCGUGCUCGCAUGAUUUGCAGGGUAGAAACGGUAUGAUGGGGACGAAAGCGACCUGAAUCUGACGACUAAAAGGGAUUUUAUCGAACGUACCGGGUGUGACCGGCCCAAAUUUGGGCCGGCGCGCCAGCGCCUAGCGUUGAGGAAGUACAGGGUCCAUCACGUGAGGAUCAUAUGGGGAGUGAUAGUUUCGCAUGAAGCACAAAUUGCAUUACAUGCGAUCGGAGUAGUACCCGUGAGGGAGUACAAGUAUGUUGUCUCGGAGAGUUAUACCUGUGUUAUUUGUGGAGCACAAGUUUGUUAUAUUUGUAAGUACAAGUUUUGUACAAAAAAAUUCAUCAAAACAUAUCAACAUGCGAUGGGAUCUAAUUCCGAACAUCUCGACGCGAG